UACAGAGGUCUCAAGCGUUGUUCGGAUUCAUUGGGCGUAAAGGGUGCGUAGGUGGCGGGGUAAGUCUGGUGUGAAAUCUCGGGGCUCAACCCCGAAACUGCACUGGAUACUGCCUUGCUCGAGUACUGGAGAGGAGAUUGGAAUUUACGGUGUAGCAGUGAAGUGCGUAGAUAUCGUAAGGAAGACCAGUGGCGAAGGCGAAUCUCUGGACAGUUACUGACACUGAGGCACGAAGGCCAGGGGAGCAAACGGG
rnacentral:rRNA from 1 species